rnacentral:rRNA from 1 species
UGUUGCUUGCAAGGGCGUAUGGUGGAUGCCUUGGCAGACAGGACCGAUGAAGGACGUUUGAGGCUGCGAUAUGCCUCGGGGAGCCGCCUACAGGGCUUUGAUCCGAGGAUUUCCGAAUGGGGGAACCCACCGGCCGUCAUGGGUCGGUACCGGCUUCGGCCGGGGGGUACGCAGGGAAGUGAAACAUCUCAGUACCUGCAGGAAAGGAUAUUCCGUGAGUAGUGGCGAGCGAAAGCGGAUGAUGGCCAAACCUUGCGCGUGUGAUACCCGUCGGGGGUUGCGUGUGGGGUGUUGCGGGAUCGCGUGCGCCGGCUCCGACGGGCCGGCCGGCAGUUGUAGAAAACCAUGUGUCAGGGGAACCGGGUUGAAUACCGGGCCGCAGAGGGUGAGGGCCCCGUACCUGAACGCGCAUGGUCUGCCGAUCGCGUCUCCCAAGUAGCACGGGUCCCGUGGAACCCCGUGCGAAUCCGCCCGGACCGUCGGGUAAGCCUGAAUAUUCCUGUCUGACCGAUAGCGAACGAGUACCGUGAGGGAAAGGUGAAAAGUACCCCGGGAGGGGAGUGAAACAGUCUCUGAAACCGUGCGCCUACAAUCCGUCGGAGCCCUUUUUGUGGGGUGACGGCGUGCCUAUCGAAAAAUGAGUCUGCGAGUCAGUGGCAUGUGGCGAGCAUAACCCGUGUGGGGUAUGCGUAGCGAAGGCGAGUCUUAAAAGGCGUUUGAGUCGCGUGUCCUGGACCCGAAGCGGGAUGAUCUAGCCCUGAGCAGGUUGAAGCGCGGGUAAGACCGUGUGGAGGACCGAACCCACCUGGGUUGAAAACCGGGGGGAUGACUUGGGGUUAGGGGUGAAAGGCCAAUCAAAUUCCGUGAUAGCUGGUUCUCUCCGAAAUGCAUUUGGGUGCAGCGUCGGGUCAUUGCGUCCCGGGGGUAGAGCUACUGGAUGCUUGCGGGCCCGUAUCGGGUACCAACAGCAACCAAACUCCGAAUACCGGUGACGUGUAUCCCGGCAGUGAGUCGGCGGGGGAUAAGCUUCGUCGUCGAAAGGGAAACAGCCCAGACCGUCGUCUAAGGUCCCGAAGCGUGUGCUAAGUGGGAAAGGAUGUGGAGUCGCAUAGACAGCCAGGAGGUUGGCUCAGAAGCAGCCAUCCUUUAAAGAGUGCGUAACAGCUCACUGGUCUAGUGGUUCCGCGCCGACAAUGUAGCGGGGCUCAAGCACACCACCGAAGACGCGGCAGUAUUUUGUACUGGGUAGGAGAGCGUCCCAUGAGGGGCGAAGCGGCCGUGUGAACGCGCCGUGGACUUCAUGGGAGUGAGAAUGCAGACAUGAGUAGCGAAAGACGGGUGAAGAUCCCGUCCGCUGGAUGACCAAGGGUUCCAGGGCCACGUUCAUCGUCCCUGGGUGAGUCGGGUCCUAAGGCGAGGCCGACAGGCGUAGUCGAAUGGAUGAACGGGUCGAUAUUCCCGUACCGGCUUUCAGCCGCCAGAACCGAGGCUUGGAGUACUAACCUCCGGGUCCGGGCUUACUUCCCCUUCGGGGGUGGGAUGCCUGGGCCUGUUGGGACCGAUCCUUGUAGUAGGUCAGCGCAGGAGUGACGCAGAAGGGUAGCCGGCCGCGGAGGUGGUCUUCCGUGGUCAAGCACGCAGCCCGUCCCGUAGGCAAAUCCGCGGGGCGUGUGGGCGAGGUGCGAUGGUGGGGGCCGUUUGGCCCGAUAUCCGGUGAUCCCGGCUGCCGAGAAAAGCUUCGGCGUGAGGCUCGAAGCCGCCCGUACCCCAAACCGACACUGGUGGUCAGGUAGAGAAUACCAAAGCGAUCGAGCGAAUCCUGGUCAAGGAACUCGGCAAAUCACUCCCGUUCCUUCGGUUUAAGGGAGACCCCCGAUGGUGAUCCGCCUCGCGCGGGGAGCUUUUGGGGGUGGCACAGACCAGGGGGUAGCGACUGUUUACCAAAAACACAGGUGCAUGCGAAGGCGCAAGCCGCUGUAUAUGCACUGACGCCUGCCCGGUGCCGGAAGGUUAAGAGGAUCCGUCAGCCUUCGGGUGAAGCGGUGAAUUCAAGCCCCGGUAAACGGCGGUGGUAACUAUAACCAUCCUAAGGUAGCGAAAUUCCUUGUCGGGUAAGUUCCGACCUGCACGAAUGGCGUA